rnacentral:tRNA from 1 species
GGAGGAGUGGCCGAGUGGACGAAGGCAGCGGUCUUGAAAACCGCCGAGCGAGAGCUCCGGGGGUUCGAAUCCCUCCUCCUCCG